AACCCGUAGAUCCGAACUUGCGGUACAACUGAUUCACACAAGCUCGAGUCUGUGGGUAUG
rnacentral:pre_miRNA from 1 species